AGGUUUUGAUUCAAACACAAAUGAAAUGAGCAUUUUCUUGCUUCUAUUUACACCAAUCCUGGAUGGAAAAGCACUUUUGUAUUCAUUUGUAUCCUGAAUGGCCUGGUGUUUCUUCUUGGCUGGAAAAGCUUUUUGUGAGAGCCAUUCAAGAGCUAUGGCAGUGGUAGUCGCGGUUAUUUCGCGUGGUGGUGGAUACAGAGGAUGUAACAGCCCA